rnacentral:rRNA from 1 species
AUUGAACGCUGGCGGCAGGCUUAACACAUGCAAGUCGAGCGGGGUGAUGGUGCUUGCACUAUCACUUAGCGGCGGACGGGUGAGUAAUGCUUAGGAAUCUGCCUAUUAGUGGGGGACAACAUCUCGAAAGGGAUGCUAAUACCGCAUACGUCCUACGGGAGAAAGCAGGGGAUCACUUGUGACCUUGCGCUAAUAGAUGAGCCUAAGUCGGAUUAGCUAGUUGGUGGGGUAAAGGCCUACCAAGGCGACGAUCUGUAGCGGGUCUGAGAGGAUGAUACGCCACACGGGGACCGGGGCACGGCCCAAACUCCGACGGGAGGCAGCAGUGGGGUAUAUUGGACAGUGGGGGGAACCCUGAUCCAGCCAUGCCGCGUGUGUGAAGAAGGCCUUAUGGUUGUAAAGCACUUUAAGCGAGGAGGAGGCUACUCUAGUUAAUACCUAGGGAUAGUGGACGUUACUCGCAGAAUAAGCACCGGCUAACUCUGUGCCAGCAGCCGCCGUAA